ensembl:lncRNA
UCUAAUAAAAUCAGGUCUUCACAGUCAGGGAUAAAUGAAAUUUUAGCAACAAGGUAAGGGUUUUCCCUGUGCCCCUCUAACUACAUCAGCAGGCACAGUGCUGUGACAUCCGCGCCUGGGUCUCACGGAUAUUUAGCCUAGAGAGUUAAGGAUCGCCUCACUGCGCCCCAGAUCUUGUCUGAAGGCAGAUGAGUUAUUAAAAAAUAUCUGUCAACUGCCAAAGCGCAGGCCCCGCCUCGCUGGGCCAGCGGCUCGCACUGUUCAGACCUGUGGGCCCACGGGGUGGGCGGCCGGUGGGUCUCGGGAAACUCAAAGGAAAGGUUAUUUUCUAAUAGUAGUUAAGUCUCUCCACACCAACACAGAUCACGGAUGGCCUGAGACUCAGCCCUGCCUGAAAAUAUAACGAACCCUUUUAGCGCGAGUUAUUUCUGCAUUCUGCCUGUAUGGUGGUGGCUUUUCCUUUUUAAACAGCAAUCGCCACGCGACUGUCCCUACGCACUUAACGUGGAGAGGAAAUGAAAGACCUGGCUUCCGCUUCACGUGGGAGGGGCCGAAAAUAACAUUUUAAAAAGGGUGAUCUAAGAGUGAGAAGAAUGAAAAUCAUGUCCAAAGGAAUUAAUCUCGAACAGUCUGUUAUUAGAGCAUGAGCAUCAGCAUAAGGAGUCCUGCUUCCGGUCCUGUUCGACAAGGGGCGUGGCGGCAGAGGACCGCACCCUUGCAGCCCAUUUUCUGCCCUCCAAAAAUGACGAUGCUCCUCCUGCCACUCCUCACAGGGCGGCCGUUAAAGGUCUACACCACUACCAGGACCAGCUCCUGAGGAAACAGGGACAGCAGCAGAGGGCCCUUACCCGGUGGACAUCGUGAGCGAAUGGCCGCACGGGUCUCAUCAGGAGGGCGACACGGGAUCAGGAACGCGCCAGCAUUGAAGAGGGAGGGGCUUCAGCCCCUGAGCAGUGCGGGAGAAACAUUCUUAUCCGAGGAGCUGGUCAUCGGUGCCCUCAGUGCAGAGAAGUGGCAACGAGAUGUGGUGUAACAGGAUGGCAUGGGAAGAGCAGGUUAAUGAUGGGGAUCUCGUCCAUCCAAACCGCUAACAUGUAAUCUGACUGCCCCCUCGGAGGACUAAGUGAAAGCACUUGCACAGCACGCAUCACGGGGCUGGCACAUCACACACGUGAGUGCUGGCCGUGUGCUCCGGAAGUAGUCGUGGGGUGCGGGGCACCUCCGGGCCGACUUGGGUGCAGGAAAUGCCGCUCGCAGGUCGUCACCAGUAUCUCCAGGGCUGACGGGCUACCUCAGUUGGUGUUUGCAUUCCUGUCUCUAAGGGCACACAGAGCCUCAUGUAUUAAUUACCAGCUAGAUUUUCUCCAGGUUUCAGUGACUUCUCCUGAGACACUUGGGGGGCUGAUGUGAUGAUGAUCUCAUGGUUUUUUUCCACCGCCAGUGCCUUGAACUCUCUGAGGUUCUCCAGCCUCGGUCUGAAUUAUAUAAAUAAAGGUGCUCUAAUUGCUAAAGGCCAGAGCUUUUUCAUUUUCUUAUUUUAAAAUUUCCUUCGUUAUAUAUGUUUGGUGUAUGUACAAAACAACAAACAUUAUAAAAAAGUAAAACACCACACCUAGGAAGCACCUGCACUCACACGGCGAUCAUGGCCUGUGUGUGCACUUCUAUCACACCCACCCAAAUACAGGUAACUCAGACAUGUAUUCUUCCUUUUUCACUAAAGUGAGAACGUGUGUGUGCAUGCGUGCGCACACACAACAUAUAUUACUCUGUUCAUGCAAUAUAGUAUGGUAGACAUCACUCCAGGUAACUGUGGAUUAAAAACUAAUUUAAUUUGAAUAGCGUAAAACUCUAUAGUAUGGAUUUGCUGAUUAUAUGAUUCUCCUAUAAGCAGACACUUAAAUGGUUUCCUUUUUACCCAUAUACUUACUCUUUACUUUUUAGAGAGAGCAAGCGAGUGACUACAGGGGAGGGGCAGAGGGAGAGGGAGAUACAGAAUCUGAAUCGGGCUCCAGGCCCUGAGCUGUCAGCACAGAGCCUGACGCGGGGCUGGAACCCACAAACUAUGACCUGAGCCAAGUCGGACGCUCAACGACUCAGCCACCCAGGCGUUCCAAUCUGUCAUUUUUAUGUGUUCUAUGAGGUGUUCUCAAAAUGUAAGACUAUUAGACUAAAACACCUGUACUUUUAAUAAGUGCAUAUUUCCUACGACACUACAACUCACUUUCCCAUUAGCGGUGUGAACGCACAUCUAUGUCUCCCUCUCCCUUCUGAGACUUUUUGGCUAGACAGCCACAGUCUUUUUUGUUUUUAGUCAGAGAACCUUGCUAGGUUGUAUCUCCUUGUCAACCAUUUGUCAUUAUUUCCCCUGGGGCACUGCAUCUUUUAUUCCUUAAAUUCAUAUUUUUUCAGUAUUUUCUUCAUUUUAAACUUGAAAUCUUUGCUCCAUUUGGGGGGUU